rnacentral:misc_RNA from 1 species
UUUUGAAAGUAAAGGUGGUAACAAGGUUUCCGUUGGUGAACCAGCGGAGGGAUCAUUUACCGAGUUUACAACUCCCCAAACUCAAUGUGAAGGUUACCAAACUGUUGCCUGGGGCGGGAUCUCUACCCCGGGUGCGUCGCAGCCCCGGACCAAGGCGCCCGCCGGAGGACCAACCAAAACUCUUAUUGUAUACCCCCUCGCGGGUUUUUUUAUAAUCUGAGCCUUCUCGGCGCCUCUAGUAGGCGUUUCGAAAAUGAAUCAAAACUUUCAACAACGGAUCUCUUGGUUCUGGCAUCGAUGAAGAACGCAGCGAAAUGCGAUAAGUAAUGUGAAUUGCAGAAUUCAGUGAAUCAUCGAAUCUUUGAACGCACAUUGCGCCCGCCAGUAUUCUGGCGGGCAUGCCUGUCCGAGCGUCAUUUCAACCCUCGAACCCCUCCGGGGGGUCGGCGUUGGGGAUCGGCCCUGCCUUGGCGGUGGCCGUCUCCGAAAUACAGUGGCGGUCUCGCCGCAGCCUCUCCUGCGCAGUAGUUUGCACACUCGCAUCGGGAGCGCGGCGCGUCCACAGCCGUUAAACACCCAACUUCUGAAAUGUUGA